rnacentral:misc_RNA from 1 species
GUAGGUGAACCUGCGGAAGGAUCAUUAACACGUAUCCACGUAUCAACCCCUCUGUGAAACCCUAACUUCGAAAGGUUUGGUCUUAGUGUGUCGUUCGCAUGGGUCCUAAUGAUGGAGCGGAUUUCGGUCUGCUAGGGCUCGAAUGACAUGUGUUUGACGAUCAACCGCCACUUUCCCAUCGUUGGCCCCCUUUUUAAACCCCUUGUACUUCUUUGUACUGAACCAAUUCUUCUGACGCUCUUUACUGAGU